rnacentral:SRP_RNA from 1 species
UGCAGCCGGGGAGUUAGCGGUGCCCUAUACCUGCAAUCCGCUAUAGCAGGGGUGUUGCCAAUCGGAGGCAUUUAUUUUGUAAGGCUGCCCUUUAAAAGUGGCGAUGAUGAUUGGGUCUUACGCAACAGGAAUCUAUGAACCGUGUCAGGUCUGGAAGGAAGCAGCACUAAGUAGAACCUCCUGUGUGCCGUAAGGUUGCCUGAUUUGAGCUAACUAUAAAGGUAACGCUUAUGAAUAUUUGUCGAUGUGCGGUGCACGG